AAGACUAUAGACCUGCGGAGUACCUGCGGAGGGAUCAUUACCAAGCCCGUGAAGAUUACACUCCAAAAGGAUGUAAUCUCUCACCCGGCCACCCUUGUUUACCUUGACCCUGUUGCUUUGGUGGGCCCGCCAAAAAGGCCGCUGGGAAACUACUUACUUUCCGGGCGAGUGCUCACCAAAGUCCCAUUGAACUCUUUCUGAAGUUGUGCUGUCUGAGCAUGCGAAAACAAAUGUUAUAUA
rnacentral:misc_RNA from 1 species